rnacentral:rRNA from 1 species
UACGGAGGGGGCUAGCGUUGUUCGGAAUUACUGGGCGUAAAGCGCACGUAGGCGGCUUUGUAAGUUAGAGGUGAAAGCCCAGGGCUCAACCCUGGAAUUGCCUUUAAGACUGCAUCGCUUGAACAUCGGAGAGGUAAGUGGAAUUCCGAGUGUAGAGGUGAAAUUCGUAGAUAUUCGGAAGAACACCAGUGGCGAAGGCGACUUACUGGACGAUUGUUGACGCUGAGGUGCGAAAGCCAGGGGAGCAAACGGG